rnacentral:rRNA from 1 species
GGAAACAGAUGCUAAUACCGCAUAAGACCACACCGUGGCAUCACGGAGAGGUCAAAGGAGCAAUCCGCUGAGAGAGGGGCUCGCGUCCCAUUAGAUAGAUGGCGGGGUAACGGCCCACCAUGUCGACGAUGGGUAGCCGAGCUGAGAGGCUGAUCGGCCACACUGGAACUGAGACACGGUCCAGACUCCUACGGGAGGCAGCAGUGGGGAAUAUUGGGCAAUGGGCGCAAGCCUGACCCAGCAACGCCGCGUGAGGGAAGAAGGCUUUCGGGUUGUAAACCUCUGUCCUUGGUGACGAAACAAAUGACGGUAGCCAAGGAGGAAGCCCCGGCUAACUACGUGCCAGCAGCCGCGGUAAUACGUAGGGGGCGAGCGUUGUCCGGAAUUACUGGGCGUAAAGGGUGCGUAGGUGGCCUUUUAAGUUGGAUGUGAAAUACCCGGGCUUAACUUGGGGGGUGCAUCUAAUACUGGAGGGCUAGAGUGCAGGAGAGGGAAGCGGAAUUCCUAGUGUAGCGGUGAAAUGCGUAGAUAUUAGGAAGAACACCGGUGGCGAAGGCGGCUUACUGGACAGAGACUGACGCUGAGGCGCGAAAGCGUGGGGAGCGAACAGGAUUAGAUACCCUGGUAGUCCACGCCGUAAACGAUGAGUAUUAGGUGUUGCCGAGA